rnacentral:rRNA from 1 species
AUUGAACGCUGGCGGCAGGCCUAACACAUGCAAGUCGAGCGGUAGCACAGAGAGCUUGCUCUCGGGUGACGAGCGGCGGACGGGUGAGUAAUGUCUGGGAAACUGCCUGAUGGAGGGGGAUAACUACUGGAAACGGUAGCUAAUACCGCAUAAUGUCGCAAGACCAAAGUGGGGGACCUUCGGGCCUCAUGCCAUCAGAUGUGCCCAGAUGGGAUUAGCUAGUAGGUGGGGUAAUGGCUCACCUAGGCGACGAUCCCUAGCUGGUCUGAGAGGAUGACCAGCCACACUGGAACUGAGACACGGUCCAGACUCCUACGGGAGGCAGCAGUGGGGAAUAUUGCACAAUGGGCGCAAGCCUGAUGCAGCCGUGCCGCGUGUGUGAAGAAGGCCUUCGGGUUGUAAAGCACUUUCAGCGGGGAGGAAGGCGAUAAGGUUAAUAACCUUGUCGAUUGACGUUACCCGCAGAAGAAGCACCGGCUAACUCCGUGCCAGCAGCCGCGGUAAUACGGAGGGUGCAAGCGUUAAUCGGAAUUACUGGGCGUAAAGCGCACGCAGGCGGUCUGUCAAGUCGGAUGUGAAAUCCCCGGGCUCAACCUGGGAACUGCAUUCGAAACUGGCAGGCUAGAGUCUUGUAGAGGGGGGUAGAAUUCCAGGUGUAGCGGUGAAAUGCGUAGAGAUCUGGAGGAAUACCGGUGGCGAAGGCGGCCCCCUGGACAAAGACUGACGCUCAGGUGCGAAAGCGUGGGGAGCAAACAGGAUUAGAUACCCUGGUAGUCCACGCCGUAAACGAUGUCGAUUUGGAGGUUGUGCCCUUGAGGCGUGGCUUCCGGAGCUAACGCGUUAAAUCGACCGCCUGGGGAGUACGGCCGCAAGGUUAAAACUCAAAUGAAUUGACGGGGGCCCGCACAAGCGGUGGAGCAUGUGGUUUAAUUCGAUGCAACGCGAAGAACCUUACCUGGUCUUGACAUCCACAGAACUUUCCAGAGAUGGAUUGGUGCCUUCGGGAACUGUGAGACAGGUGCUGCAUGGCUGUCGUCAGCUCGUGUUGUGAAAUGUUGGGUUAAGUCCCGCAACGAGCGCAACCCUUAUCCUUUGUUGCCAGCGGUUCGGCCGGGAACUCAAAGGAGACUGCCAGUGAUAAACUGGAGGAAGGUGGGGAUGACGUCAAGUCAUCAUGGCCCUUACGACCAGGGCUACACACGUGCUACAAUGGCAUAUACAAAGAGAAGCGACCUCGCGAGAGCAAGCGGAUCUCAUAAAGUAUGUCGUAGUCCGGAUUGGAGUCUGCAACUCGACUCCAUGAAGUCGGAAUCGCUAGUAAUCGUAGAUCAGAAUGCUACGGUGAAUACGUUCCCGGGCCUUGUACACACCGCCCGUCACACCAUGGGAGUGGGUUGCAAAAGAAGUAGGUAGCUUAACCUUCGGGAGGGCGCUUACCACUUUGUGAUUCAUGACUGGGGUGA